UGUUUUGCUUAGUGGCGCUAAUCCCUACCAAAACCCUCGGAGAUCCGUUCACCAUAGGCACAGUAAAGCACCGGAAGGAGGUCGAGAAAAGCACGGCCAUGGCGAAAGCCGACAACAUCCUCCAAACUCUCGGCGACUUCACCAGCAAAGAGAAUUGGGACAAUUUCUUCACCAUACGCGGCCAUGGCGAUGCUUUUGAGUGGUAUGCCGAGUGGCCUGAGCUCAAAGACCCACUCAUUUCCCACCUUACUACCCUCUCCAAAUCCCCUUCUCCCCAGAUUCUCGUUCCUGGUUGCGGAAACUCCAGCCUCUCCGAGCAGCUUUACGACGCCGGCUUUGGAUGUAUCACCAACAUUGAUUUCUCUAAAGUUGCAAUCUCUGAUAUGCUCCGCCGCAACGUGAGGGAACGCCCUGAUAUGCGGUGGCGCGUCAUGGAUAUGACGAACAUGCAGUUCACGAACGACACAUUUGAUGCUGUCGUUGAUAAAGGUGGAUUGGAUGCUUUAAUGGAACCAGAAGUUGGUUCUAAGCUAGGAAGUCAAUACUUAUCCGAGGUGAAAAGAGUUCUAAAACCGGGAGGGAAAUUUAUCUGUCUCACCUUAGCAGAAUCUCAUGUUCUAGGCUUGCUUUUUCCCAAAUUUCGUUUUGGAUGGAAAAUGAGUAUUCAUGUCAUACCUCCAAAACCACCAUGUAAGCCUAAUUUUCGAACAUUUAUGGUGGUGGUGGAGAAAGAUGAAUCUACUACAUGGCACCAGAUAGAAUCUUCUUUAAAUCUUUCUUCAAUUGAUUCCCGUGGAGACCAGACUCGUGAACUUGUCCAAAGUCUUGAGAACGAGAAUAGAAUUCGUGAAAAGUAUUCUAGUGGUGCUGAUUUGUUGUUCUCUCUAGAAGACCUGCAACUUGGAGCAAAGGGAGAUCUGCAGAAGCUUCACCGAGGCCGUCGGGUCCAAUUUACUUUAGGUGGACAAGGGACUUCUAUUUUCAGUUACAGAGCUGUACUUCUUGAUGCUCGGGAGCAUUCUGGCCCAUUCUCGUAUGAAUGUGGAGUUUUUAUAGUGCCCAAGACUCGUGCUCAUGAAUGGCUGUUCUCUUCAGAAGAAGGCCAGUGGAUGGUUGUCGAAAGCUCAAAAGCUGCUCGCCUUAUAAUGGUUCUAUUAGAUGAAACGCAAUCUGGUGCCAACAUGGAUGCUAUUCAGAAAGAUUUGUCUCCCCUAGUCAAACAAUUGGCACCUGGAGAAGAUGACAGUGGAUCUCAAAUUCCAUUUAUGAUGGCUAGCGAUGGAAUCAAGGAACGGAAUUGUGUUUUUCAGGGUACAUCUUCAUUAACUGGUUCAAUUGUAGUUGAAGAUGUAAAAUAUGAACAUGUUAGUGGCGAUGCCAGUCGCAUCUUCCCAUCUGGAGAUUUGAUAUUCCGCCGUCUUGUUUUCCAAAGAACGGAGAGUUUGGUGCAGUCUGAAGCUUUGUUGACAAGGGAGAGAGUUGAUGACAAAGUUUCUGGUCAGAUGGACAGGAAAAAGUCUCAUGCAUCAUCCAAAUCAAAAAAUAAAGGAAAGAAGAAACUGAAUAAGGAGUCUAGUGACCAAAUGAAGGUUUAUCAUGGCUACCUGGCAAGUUCUUAUCAUUCGGGGAUCAUUUCUGGGUUUAUGUUGAUAUCUCAAUAUUUGGGGAGUGUGGCAUCAGCUGGAACAAUGGUGAAUGCAGUUAUCAUUGGUCUUGGAGCAGGUUUGCUGCCCAUGUUUCUCCGUGCAUGCAUGUCUUUUUUACACAUUGAGGUGGUUGAAUUGGAUUCAAUGAUCCUCAAUCUUGCACGGGAUUACUUUGAUUUUACCGAGAAUGCAAAUUUGAAGGUUCAUAUUGCUGAUGGGAUUCAGUUUGUUAGAGAAUUCAGAAACUAUGGGACAAAUGAUUCAACGGUAGCUCUUGAUAGUGGAAACUCUUCUCAAGUAGAACAAGGAAACAAGAAAAUCGACAUACUUAUCAUAGAUGUGGAUGCAACAGACUCUAGCUCUGGAAUGACCUGCCCAGCGGCUGAUUUUGUAGAAGAGCCAUUUCUACUGGCAGUGAAAGAUGCCCUCUCCGAGCAGGGUCUUUUUAUUAUAAACUUGGUCACACGAUCUCCAACCAUCAACGAUAUGGUGGUCACGAGGAUGAAAGGAGUCUUCAAUCACCUCUUUUCCCUUCAACUUGAGGAGGAUGUGAAUGAAGUGCUAUUUGCUCUUCCUUCAGAUUUAGGCAUAAAGGAGGAUCAUCUCUUCAAUGAAGCAUCUCUUCAACUUGAGAAACUUUUAAAUUUGAAACACCUAGAAAUGAGGCAGAGCAUAGUUGAUGCUACAAAGGAGAUCAGAUGUUUGAAGUAGAAGCUAGCACUUUCUUUGAAAAAACGUAGCCCGGUCGUUAUAGUUAAGAAGCCGUCAAUUGUCGCGAAUCGAGCAGUCCCUCUUUGUGUUCUUCUUCGACUCGGGCCAAACCCUAGCGAUAUCUCAGCCAUGUCGUCCAAGCAAGGAGGGAAAGCAAAGCCUCUGAAGCAACCCAAGGUUGAUAAGAAGGAUUACGACGAGGUUGAUAUGGCCAAUAUUCAAAAGAAGAAGGAAGAGGAAAAGGCGCUCAAGGAGCUUAGAGCAAAGGCUCAACAGAAGGGGACCUUUGGAGGUGCUGGGCUCAAGAAGAGUGGGAAGAAAUGAGGGUUCUGACUUCCCUCACAAAUUCAUGGAGGUAGAUUUACUUCACGACCUGAAAUUGCAGACAUUUAAUGGCUUUUGAAUCAGUUGAUUGUCCUCGUGUGUUCUCUGUAAAACCCUGAAAAGAAGAUGAUAUGCUGUUGAAUGAUUAUAUAGAAGUUGAAUGCUUCUCAAUAUCCUAAACUUUCUUUAGCUAAA